GGUGUGAGUGUGACAGCUGGCAGUGCAUUAUGGGACAGUACACUGUGUUCUGGGAUAUUCCACAGGUUGCUGACAUGCCUACAACAAAGUUUGCUCUGUGCCAGGAUGGUGACCACUUCCCCUUUAGGAAUCUCCAACAGGAAGAGCACUGCUUCUUCUCUCACUACACCUUGAAAAUCCACAUUGUUCACCUUUAACAUGCAAACAAAGGGUACAAUAAUUAGGACUGUUUGCUAUUCAGGCCCUCCUCUUCAGCAGGACUGCCCUCUUGAACACUAGCAAUGAAGAUGCCAACAUCAUUACCUCCUGCCAGCCUCAGCCCCACGCUGUCUCCCUUCUGGAAAUUCACCAUCACUGUGUUCGGUCUA